CACGGCCGGUGACACACGCAGGGAACAAACUUCACGCCGUCCCGGCCGAAGGGAUGGGUGGCUGCCAGCGCCCGACCCUGGGCAGAGCUCGGCGGGGCUGCGCAGCCGGGACGUGAGGGGGCUGCUCUUCCAGGUGUUCAACCACCCGGGUGAGUCGGUGGCACCAGUUUUCCCGUUGAGCACGAAGAUCCUGGCACCGGUUUGGUUUUCCCCCCCGUCACGACGGCGCAGCCUCAGCCUGAGGGAAGAGCAGAAGCUGCAGGAGCCACCACAGCUCUUGGAUCUCAACACCCCGUGGAGGUGAACAGCUCAACACACCCAAAUGCAAAUGGAGAUAAAGAUCCCUGGGAUUGCACAGCUGGACUGGUCCUGCCAGCUGGGACAAAGCUGGCACCAGGCACAGAGCUGGAAGUGAGACCUACAAGCAACUGUAGGAUUAUUAUAUUAUUAUUAUUAUUUAUUAUUAUAUUAUUAUUCGAGAGCAAGAAGAGGCCAAGAUGACAUCGGGCUGAUUAUGCUGUCCCAGCUCACAGACCCUCCAUCUCACAAGCCAGGGAGUCAGGAAAGACCAGGAAGCAUUCCUUUUGCUCACCAUUUUUCCAUAAAUUAAAGGAAUAGCCUGGCUGCACCUUGGGCACAAGGGCAACAAAUGGCAAAAGACAUUUCUGCAGGUUACAUGGAAAGAAUAGGGAUUAAAAAGCCUGACCCAUCUCACCAGCAGCAAAAGUAUUCAGAAAAUAGCUGAAUUUUAAAUAAAACUGAGAUGUUUAAAUAUUUCAUUUUUUUUAAUAAAAUAUUUAAAGUUUAAUAAAGAAGAUUAAAAUGAAGAAGGUUAUUCUUCUGCCAAACAAAUAAAUAUUUUUUUUUCAUCAUCAGUGGUCAAAAAUCAGUGCAUGAGCUCAGGUUACUCCACACCAGAAGAAAAUAAAUAAUAUAUUAUGACUGUUACUAAACACUUUUCAGAUUGGGGCAUAUUCCUGCUGAAAAUAUUUGUCCUGCUCUUCAGACACAGGCAAGUAAAAAGAGACACCUGAAAAGUCCAACACCCAUAAAAAUAAAAAGAAACAAUACAAACAAAGUAAUAAAAUCUCUUUCCCUGUCUUUCCUCCUGCUCCCUCAUGUGGGUGUGUGGGGAUGAGCCUUUCUAGGUGUCAAAUCCUCUCAGCUCCCAGACCAUUUUCCUCUUGGGAACAGCUCCACUUUUACUGCUCUCUGAAAAAAAAAAAAA